rnacentral:misc_RNA from 1 species
UCCCCGUUACCGGGGCAGUCUGUCCAGAAAAAUACAACUGGACACAAGGGUUGCGCUCGUUAAUGGACUUAACCAAACGUCUCACGACACGAGCUGACGACGGCCAUGCAGCACCUGUCACUGCGGCCCGAAGGCACUCUAUCCUUUCGGAUAAAUUGGCAGGAUGUCAAACCCUGGUAAGGUUCUUCGCUUUGCAUCGAAUUAAACAACACGCUCCACCGCUUGUGCGGGCCCCCGUCAAUUCCUUUGAGUUUUAGCCUUGCGGCCGUACUCCCCAGGCGGGGUGCUUAACGCGUUAGCUACGACGCCUCCGGGGUCAAUACCAGAAACAUCUAGCACCCAUCGUUUACGGCGUGGACUAC